CCUACGGGAGGCAGCAGUGAGGAAUAUUGGUCAAUGGGCGCGAGCCUGAACCAGCCAAGUAGCGUGAAGGAUGACGGCCCUACGGGUUGUAAACUUCUUUUAUAAAGGAGUAAAGUGAGGCACGGGUGCCGUUUUGUAUGUACUUGAUGAAUAAGGAUCGGCUAACUCCGUGCCAGCAGCCGCGGUAAUACGGAGGAUUCGAGCGUUAUCCGGAUUUAUUGGGUUUAAAGGGAGCGGAGAUGGGUUGUAAAGUCAGUUGUGAAAGUCUGCGGCUCAACCGUAAAAUUGCAUUUGAAACUGGGAGUCUGGAGUACAGUAGAGGUAGGCGGAAUUCGUGGUGUAGCGGUGAAAUGCUUAGAUAUCACGAAGAACUCCGAUUGCGAAGGCAGCUUACUAACCCGCAACUGACAUUGAUGCACGAAAGUGUGGGUAUCAAACAGGAUUAGAUACCCCUGUAGUC
rnacentral:rRNA from 1 species